CUUCCGUUUUUUCAUCAUUUUAUAUUUUUUUUUUAUCCCCAACCAUAAGAUUUAAUAUUUGCAGUUACCUAGAGAAGAGAGAGAGAGAGAGAAAGAGAGAUAUAGAGAUAGUGUGCGUGUUACGAUAUAAUCUUUAUCGUUACAUAACAAGAACAGUUGAUAUUCUAUACAUCUACGUAAAAAUAUCUGCAUCCACUGUAUAGUGGUAGGCUCUUACUAUAACUGCGUGCGAUGUACAGUUUGUAUUGAAUA